CCCGCUGAACUUAAGCAUAUCAAUAAGCGGAGGAAAAGAAACCAACAGGGAUUGCCUUAGUAACGGCGAGUGAAGCGGCAAAAGCUC
rnacentral:rRNA from 1 species